GACGAACGCUGGCGGCGUGCUUAACACAUGCAAGUCGAACGGAAAGGCCCUGCUUUUGUGGGGUGCUCGAGUGGCGAACGGGUGAGUAACACGUGAGUAACCUGCCCUUGACUUUGGGAUAACUUCAGGAAACUGGGGCUAAUACCGGAUAGGAGCUCCUGCUGCAUGGUGGGGGUUGGAAAGUUUCGGCGGUUGGGGAUGGACUCGCGGCUUAUCAGCUUGUUGGUGGGGUAGUGGCUUACCAAGGCUUUGACGGGUAGCCGGCCUGAGAGGGUGACCGGCCUCAUUGGGACUGAGAGACGGCCCAGAAUCCUACGGGAGGCAGCAGGGGGGAAUAUUGCACAAUGGGCGGAAGCCUGAUGCAGCAACGCCGCGUGCGGGAUGACGGCCUUCGGGUUGUAAACCGCUUUCGCCUGUGACGAAGCGUGAGUGACGGUAAUGGGUAAAGAAGCACCGGCUAACUACGUG
rnacentral:rRNA from 1 species